rnacentral:rRNA from 1 species
UCUAAGGAGACCGCCGGUGACAAACCGGAGGAAGGUGGGGAUGACGUCAAGUCAUCAUGGCCCUUACGGCCAGGGCUACACACGUACUACAAUGGUAGGGACAGAGGGCUGCAAGCCGGCGAGGGUAAGCCAAUCCCAGAAACCCUAUCUCAGUCCGGAUUGGAGUCUGCAACUCGACUCCAUGAAGUCGGAAUCGCUAGUAAUC